rnacentral:lncRNA from 1 species
ACAGAGUUGGUGAAAUUAGUGAUUUGAUUGUUGUUUUUUUUUACUUACUUUUAAAUAAUAGAUUGCAUGUUGUUAGUUACGUUUUUGUACGAUGCGAUAAAGAUAAUAAUAUGAUGUCAUUAAAUACUGUAUUAUAAACGUUGGACGACACUAAGAAAAACACCCGUAAUGAUGGGUUACCGAACUAAUUCUAAAAUGGGUUACCGAAAUACGUUUAUGACACCGUUUGUAGAACAUCGAACUAUUAGUCAAAUCACAGUUUUAUUAACUGUGGUCAAAUUCAAGUUGUCAAAUGAGCGAAUAGACAAAAGAGGCCGAAAUGUUCUACCUCCUCUGCAAGGCGAUUCUGCGGGCGGCAAAAAUUAGGGAGUGAACACGGAAAAAAUCGGCGGGUGAAGUGACUUAUUCCCAAAUUUCAAUUUUCAACCUGCGAACAGGCGUACUCUGCCUUACGAAAUUAGGGAAUCAUUGCGGCCUGCGGAGGAGGUUAGCGAAAUGUCUACUCUCGUGGCAAUAGAAGUGUUCCUAAUUAGUGAUGGGCCGAUAUCGAUAACCAGAGUGAAAGAAAAGUAUCGAUACUAUUGAAAAAUAUCGAUUGUUUCGAUAUUGCUGAGCCUCAUGUGCUCUUUUGGCUUUUGUUUAGCGGACACUAUACAUGAAAGGUACGGGGCAAAACGCAGUAUAGAUGUAUAGAUUCAUGUCUCAUUGUUUAUGACAGAAGGGGGGGGGGUCAGGGUAAAGAUUGGUGUCAGCAUUCAGAAACAGCGAUAUAUGAUCUAUAACUCGAAUACGGAACAUGCGCUGUUGAAAGAUGAACGAAAGUUUAGUUAGCUUUUAUAGACUAGUUUCAUUAUGACGUCGUAUAACUACAACUAUACGAGAAUUAAAUCAUUUGUUGAGUAAUAACCUUGGU